rnacentral:rRNA from 1 species
CAGUCGCCACGGUAAUACGUAGGGUGCGAGCGUUAAUCGGAAUUACUGGGCGUAAAGCGUGCGCAGGCGGUUGUGUAAGACAGGUGUGAAAUCCCCGGGCUUAACCUGGGAACUGCGCUUGUGACUGCACAGCUAGAGUAUGGCAGAGGGGGGUGGAAUUCCACGUGUAGCAGUGAAAUGCGUAGAGAUGUGGAGGAAUACCGGUGGCGAAGGCGGCCCCCUGGACAAAGACUGACGCUCAGGUGCGAAAGCGUGGGGAGCAAACAGGAUUAGAUACCCCGGUAGUCCCUGUCUCUUAUAA